ensembl:lncRNA
UUUCGGUGCAGUUAAGAAGAGAAUCUGUGGUUUCAUGUGCUAAAUACAGCACUCUGAAAGACUGCAGAGCUGCUCUGGAUCCUUUCUGCGGCUGGUGUGUGAACACUCAGAGAUGUUCUACUCAAGAUGAAUGCUCAAAUACUGCAUGGGUGUCCAUCCCAAAAAACUCUCUUCAGACACAGCUGUUUUCUUUUCAGAUGGCAGAGAAUUAUUCUAGAAAGAUUAAUCUACAUCUUAUUUUGAAUCUGGAGAGCACAGGAAAUCCUGCCUUCUCAUGCACCUUCACUAAAGAAAGUGUAAACCUGUGUGACGUGUCUGAUCCGCCUGCAGUUUUCCCAAACUGCUCCUGUAGUUUUUCUGACCAGAUGCUCUAUACUAGAGGUUUAAAAGUCUCUGCUACUGUUACUAUUGAGGAUCAGAACAUCAUAGAGAUGCUGACACUGAGGAACUGCUCCCGUAUCACAGAUAAUUCACCAAAUGCUUCUUAUACACAGUGUGUUCAGUGUAUCUCAUCUGGGUGUCACUGGUCCUCAUUCUCCAAGCGUUGUGAAUGGACACUUGGACCUGGACCACAGUUAAACAUACAGGUGAGAUGGCGUGUAACCUAUGAU